UACGGAGGAGGCAAGCGUUAUCCGGAAUUAUUGGGCGUAAAGCGUCCGUAGGUGGUUUAGUAAGUCUGCUGUUAAAGCGCGGGGCUUAACUCCGUAUCGGCAGUGGAAACUACUAGACUAGAGUGUGGUAGGGGUAGAGGGAAUUCCCAGUGUAGCGGUGAAAUGCGUAGAUAUUGGGAAGAACACCGGUGGCGAAGGCGCUCUACUGGGCCAUAACUGACACUCAGGGACGAAAGCUAGGGGAGCGAAUGGG
rnacentral:rRNA from 1 species